rnacentral:rRNA from 1 species
CCUACGGGGGACUGUCGUAGGGAAUCUUCCACAAUGGGCGAAAGCCUGAUGGAGCAACGCCGCGUGGGUGAAGAAGGUCUUCGGAUCGUAAAACCCUGUUGUUAGAGAAGAAAGUGCGUGAGAGUAACUGUUCACGUUUCGACGGUAUCUAACCAGAAAGCCACGGCUAACUACGUGCCAGCAGCCGCGGUAAUACGUAGGUGGCAAGCGUUAUCCGGAUUUAUUGGGCGUAAAGGGAACGCAGGCGGUCUUUUAAGUUUGAUGUGAAAGCCUUCGGCUUAACCGGAGUAGUGCAUUGGAAACUGGGAGACUGGAGUGCAGAAGAGGAGAGUGGAACUCCAUGUGUAGCGGUGAAAUGCGUAGAUAUAUGGAAGAACACCAGUGGCGAAAGCGGCUCUCUGGUCUGUAACUGACGCUGAGGUUCGAAAGCGUGGGUAGCAAACAGGAUUAGAUACCCUAGUAGUC